rnacentral:rRNA from 1 species
UGUGCAGGCUGCGCGUCAAGUGGUGUAUGAAAGCGCUCGGCUUAACCGGGCCAGGUUAUGCCAGACUGACGCGCUAGAGGCCGAGAGAGGGGCGUGGAAUUCCGGGUGUAGUGGUGAAAUGCGUAGAGAUCCGGAAGAACCCCAGAGGCGAAGGCGGCGCCCUGGCUCGGUCCUGACGCUCAGACACGACAGCAUGGGGAGCGAACGGGAUUAGAAACCCCGGUAGUCCAUGCCGUAAACGAUGCCAACUAGGCGCUGACGGUCUCAACCCCGCCGGUGCCGCAGCUAACGCGUUAAGUUGGCCGCCUGGGGAGUACGGUCGCAAGGCUAAA